UCUCUGGUAGUAUAUCGGUUAGUACACGCGCCUGUCAUUCUUUAGUGAACGCGCGAAAGCGGGGUUCGACUCCCCGCCAGAGAG
rnacentral:tRNA from 1 species